AGCGGCGGACGGGUGAGUAACACGUGGGUAACCUGCCCAAGAGACUGGGAUAACACCUGGAAACAGAUGCUAAUACCGGAUAACAACACUAGACGCAUGUCUAGAGUUUGAAAGAUGGUUCUGCUAUCACUCUUGGAUGGACCUGCGGUGCAUUAGCUAGUUGGUAAGGUAACGGCUUACCAAGGCAAUGAUGCAUAGCCGAGUUGAGAGACUGAUCGGCCACAUUGGGACUGAGACACGGCCCAAACUCCUACGGGAGGCAGCAGUAGGGAAUCUUCCACAAUGGACGAAAGUCUGAUGGAGCAACGCCGCGUGAGUGAAGAAGGGUUUCGGCUCGUAAAGCUCUGUUGGUAGUGAAGAAAGAUAGAGGUAGUAACUGGCCUUUAUUUGACGGUAAUUACUUAGAAAGUCACGGCUAACUACGUGCCAGCAGCCGCGGUAAUACGUAGGUGGCAAGCGUUGUCCGGAUUUAUUGGGCGUAAAGCGAGUGCAGGCGGUUCAAUAAGUCUGAUGUGAAAGCCCUCGGCUUAACCGAGGAACUGCAUCGGAAACUGUUUUUCUUGAGUGCAGAAGAGGAGAGUGGAACUCCAUGUGUAGCGGUGGAAUGCGUAGAUAUAUGGAAGAACGCCAGUGGCGAAAGCGGCUCUCUGGUCUGCAACUGACGCUGAGGCUCGAAAGCAUGGGUAGCGAACAGGAUUAGAUACCCUGGGUAGCCCAUGCCGUAACGAUGAGUGCUAAGUGU
rnacentral:rRNA from 1 species